rnacentral:rRNA from 1 species
AGAACGAACGCUGGCGGCAUGCCUAACACAUGCAAGUCGAACGAGACCUUCGGGUCUAGUGGCGCACGGGUGCGUAACGCGUGGGAAUCUGCCCUUGGGUUCGGGAUAACAGUUGGAAACGACUGCUAAUACCGGAUGAUGUCUUCGGACCAAAGAUUUAUCGCCCAAGGAUGAGCCCGCGUAGGAUUAGCUUGUUGGUGAGGUAAGAGCUCACCAAGGCGACGAUCCUUAGCUGGUCUGAGAGGAUGAUCAGCCACACUGGGACUGAGACACGGCCCAGACUCCUACGGGAGGCAGCAGUGGGGAAUAUUGGACAAGUGGGCGAAAGCCUGAUCCAGCAAUGCCGCGUGAGUAGAUGAAGGCCUUAGGGUUGUAAAGCUCUUUUACCCGGGAUGAUAAGUGACAGUACCGGAGUAAGUAACGCCCCGGUAUAACGUCCGUA